GCCCCUACGUACCCAAUACUUUCCAAAAUUGCUCGAGAUGUCUUGGCUGUUCCGGUGUCAACUGUAGCAUCAGAAUCUACCUUUAGUGACGGCGGUAGGGUACUUACAACACAUAGGAGUUCACUAGCUCCAGAAGCUGUUCAAGCCUUACUUUGCUUAAAUGAUUGGUUGCCUGAGCUUAUAGACGAUGACAAUGAACAAGCUUAGCUGUAGUUCUCAGUCAGUGCAGAUAAUAUCUUUUUGAAUUUUGCAUCCCUUGCAUAGUUGCAUGUACUGCAGGUAUGUUUAUAAGGAGGGGAUAGAAUGGAAGUAGAAAAAAAGGCUUGGAGGAAGGCAUAAAUGUGUGAUAAGAUCAGGACAAGGAAUUUCAACUUUUUGUAUAUCCUUGUUUGUUUUUUUUGAAUGAA